rnacentral:lncRNA from 1 species
UUCAUUAUGAACAAACUAUCAACAAAAACCAUCCUGUUCAGCCAGUUUCUCAGAGCAACUGUGGGAGUCAAAGCAGGAAGACAUCAGAGGAGAAUGAAAGAAGUAAGAAAGGUUUAUGAGAACCAAAAAUGGAAAAUCAUUUCUUUCACAGCAGUGCUCAGACAAGAACUCUACCCACUGAAGUCAACCGGAUAUUAGCAGUUCUAAGAUCUAAUAAGCACAAACCAUCCACCCAUAUACUGCUAUGCUGUGAACUAAAUGAGCUGAAGCCUCCACUAUUCAAAGUUCUUCAAGGCCAUAUCACAUGUACUACACUGAGACAGUCACGUGGGAAAGGCUACCCCGCAAAACCCCUAUGGGCCUGCACACUGGGGUGGAGCCACAGAAGUCUGCAGGAAGGAGUCUGGCCCCUCCUCUUCCUGGGUGAAACCUGGGAUUCAAUCUGCAAGGCAGGAAGCUCGGGGCAAGAAGCACACUGUCUCGUUUUGCUAAGAGUCUCCCUUUCCCCUUGUUUUCCUUUUCACCCAAUAAAACCCUGCCUUAGUCACCCUUUAAAUUGUCUGUGA